AAGUCGUAACAAGGUUUCCGUAGGUGAACCUGCGGAAGGAUCAUUAACACUUAUUAUUAUCCAAUAUCAACAAUAAAACCAAACGGUCACUUAUCUUCUCCCUAUUUCGCUACCGGAGACGGUGCGAUUAGGCUAACAUUCUUUUUUAUUUUUAACCCCUUUAAAUUUAUAUUUAUUCACUUAAGUAUAAAACCAACUCUUCGAUUUGUUUGUUUACAAGCAAAACGAACUAAACUAAAAUAUACAUUUGAUAUAUAUUUAUUUUACGAAAUAAUUUAUAUUUAUAAGAACAACUCUUAGCAAUGGAUAUCUUGGUUCUC
rnacentral:misc_RNA from 1 species